rnacentral:tRNA from 1 species
GGGCCCUUAGCUCAUUUGGUAGAGCACUGCCUUUGCAAGGCAGGGGUGGCCGGUUCGAGCCCGGCAGGGUCCACCA